rnacentral:rRNA from 1 species
UGGGGAAUUUUGGACAAUGGGCGAAAGCCUGAUCCAGCAAUGCCGCGUGUGUGAAGAAGGCCUUCGGGUUGUAAAGCACUUUUGUCCGGAAAGAAAUCCUUGGCUCUAAUACAGUCGGGGGAUGACGGUACCGGAAGAAUAAGCACCGGCUAACUACGUGCCAGCAGCCGCGGUAAUACGUAGGGUGCAAGCGUUAAUCGGAAUUACUGGGCGUAAAGCGUGCGCAGGCGGUUUGCUAAGACCGAUGUGAAAUCCCCGGGCUCAACCUGGGAACUGCAUUGGUGACUGGCAGGCUAGAGUAUGGCAGAGGGGGGUAGAAUUCCACGUGUAGCAGUGAAAUGCGUAGAGAUGUGGAGGAAUACCGAUGGCGAAGGCAGCCCCCUGGGCCAAUACUGACGCUCAUGCACGAAAGCGUGGGGAGCAAACAGGAUUAGAUACCCUGGUAGUCCACGCCCUAAACGAUGUCAACUAGUUGUUGGGGACUUCAUUUCCUUAGUAACGUAGCUAACGCGUGAAGUUGACCGCCUGGGGAGUACGGUCGCAAGAUUAAAACUUAAAUGAAUUGACGGGGUCAUAGCUGUUUCCU